AUGCAUCCUCUAGAUGUGGGUUUCAUCCACCAAUUCCCUGCCAAGAAAUCCUUGGAAUUAGGUAUCUACCAAACUACAGGAGGAGCUUUAAUACAAUAUGCCAGCUAUAUAAAGACUUGUAUGCUUGGAACUUGGCGUCCCACAAAGAACAAGAGUGAACAUUUGGUAAAUGAGGCUCUGUCACUAAUGAGGAAAUUCAAUCAUUGUGAAUUCUCACUUAUUCCACGCGGCCAAGUCGGUUACGCAACAAAAUUAGCAACAGAUUUGGUAGGCACCAAGAAGAGAGAGGCCUGCAAGAGAGAGACCUGCACCAUCUGCUUGGAAGACACUGAUGUUUCCAAGAUUCACGCAGUUGAAGGCUGUGCGCAUCGGUUUUGCUUGUCCUGCAUGAAAGAGCAUGUGAGAGUUAAGCUGGGCGAUGGAACGCUCCCAGCUUGUCCACAAGAUGGCUGCACUACCAAGCUAACCGUGGAGGGUUCAAAGAUAUUCCUGUCGCCCCAACUGUUAGAGACCAUGGCGCAACGCAUCAGGGAAGCACAAAUCCCUCCCACUCAGAAGGUUUACUGCCCGAAUUCCAGGUGCUCAGCCUUAAUGUCCUCGACCGAGACGUUGGGGAAGUGCGUGAAAUGCGGGCGCUUGUUCUGCGUCAAAUGUAAGGUCCCAUGGCAUUACGGGAUAAGUUGCGUUGACUACAAGAGAAGGUACCCUCAUGCUCUACAGAACCUUGCACAGCGGCGGUCGUGGCGCCAGUGCGUCAAAUGCAAGCACCUGAUCGAGCUCGCUGAGGGUUGCUACCAUAUCACCUGCGUGUGCGGCUAUGAGUUCUGCUACACCUGUGGGAAAGAAUGGAAGGACAAGAAGGCGACCUGCUCCUGCCUUUUGUGGGAUGAACGCAAUAUAAUCCGAUUUAUUAGGCUUUACAAUACUUGUUUUGUCUAUACCAUUAUCUAG
rnacentral:rRNA from 1 species